UCAGACGCCCAUUAAACGAGAGGUCCUCCUUUUUGCCUCUUUUCUUUCUUUUGAAGACGAGCUUAAGAAAUGUGAAGCUUUUCUCCCCCCCCCCCCCCUCCGGAACUCUGUCACCGGGGGCUCGGAGACAAAGCUCUGUUUGUUUUUCCUCCCUUUAAACUUUUUCUCCCUCUUAAACUUCCAGCCAGAUUUUAGCUGCGAGUAAAUCCUUUAUCUGACCAGUACUGUCGUGUUACAACACUCUCGGCUCACGUCUUCGGCAGCACGGUGAGCUCAGACUGACCGAUGCGCUCAUGAGUCCAUCACAAAGGAAUUUGGUUUAAAUUCUACUGAGGUGAUUUACAGAUUAUUUGGAGAUUAAGAUUUGUGAAUCAUCCUGGACAAGCUGGCACGAAUAAUCUGUACACAUUCUGGAAACCAGAGAUCUACUAAAACAUUCAGACGUGAAACAUGUGAACCAAUGAAAACACGGAGAGUAACUUCCUCCCUGCCGUGUUUACAUGCUGCACACGUGUUCCUGAGUCUCCUCCUCGCUUUUGUUAUCCGGAGAGAGGCCGUUUAACACAUCUGAUAACUGCACACACACACACACACACACACACACACACACCUGCAGGACGAGAUGUUUGUAUAUGUAAACUCUGGCAUCGACGAGCCAACGUGACACCAGCUGGGGAAACCUCAGCGACUUAUAAGGAAAUACAAACACGUUUUUGCAAAACGUUUAAUUUAAAUACACUUAUCUAAUAAACUCAUCUAAGGGCCUCGCUCAAGGGCCCAACAGUGGCA